rnacentral:lncRNA from 10 species
UGAGGCCCAGUUUGCUGGGCCCCUGUUAUCACAAGUUCAGAGUACCAGUUGUUCUGCCAAUUCCUGUAUUCAUCCAGGCAACAGAUAAUUCCACAGUACAGAGCAAAGCGGAGAAAAACUGCAACGUGGCACCUUCCCAGGAGACAAGACAGAGAACAAACAAUGAGCAACCAAGCAAAAAGGGUUUUCCUGAAACAAACUCUCAUCAUCUGAGAAAACCUGCAUGCGCCUCUGCUGUCUGCACCCCAGAGGGAACCAGCAGUGUGCCCUGGGAAAAGCUGGGGCCCCACAGGUCCCAGUCUCUGAACAGGGUCUCGUAUAAAGAAGCACCAUCCAGUGACUGUUGCAGCGUGCACUGGCAUCUCGAAGACGGCAUCAACGAGUAUCUACAUCACAACCCAUAACCUCGCUCCUCAAGUUCCCUGUCCUCCCCUCCCAACCCCUGCACCCACAGCUGACCGUGAGCCUCGCACUCACCCACUUCCAUCACUGCCAGAUUCGCUCCUUACUUCCCCACUCCCUUCAUAUGGAGAGUGACAGCUUCCCCAGGUGGAUUAGAGCCGCUUUGGGCCCAUCUUUCUGAUCCUGGUUCUCUUGUUCCAUUCUCCAGGUUUUCAUUCUGGAAUAUCUGGCAAACAUGUCAUUUUGAAUUAAUUUGGGGAGGUCAGGGUGCAGUUGGGGCAGGAACAUUUCCACAUUAACAAUUAUUGCUCUCACCAUGAUACUGUUUUUUUUUUCUGGAGACAGAGUGUCGCUCUGUUGCCCAGGCUGGAGUGCAGUGGCGCCAUCUUGGCUUACUACAACCUCUGCCUCCCAGUUUCACACAGUUCUCAUGCCUCAGCCUCUCAAGUAGCUGGGACUACAGGUCCACGCCACCACGCCCAACUAAUUUUUUUGUAUUUUAGUAAAAACAAAGUUUUUCCAUGUUGCCCAGGCUGGUCUUGAACCCCCGAGCUCUGGCAGUCCGACCACCUUGGCCUCCCAAGGUGCUAGGAUUACAGGCGUAAGCCACUGCGCCCGGCCAGAUACUGAUUUUUUUUAACCCUACCAUUUAUUGGGUGCAUACUACACAUCAGGCGGUGACCUCGGUAUUUUCCAUCGAACAGAUUGUUUAGUCCUAAAAAUGAUUUCAUAAAACUACUGAUUAAAAUCCCUAACUGGUAAAUAAUAACUGAGAGAGAUCAAGUACUCCAAGAAAGAAGGAAAAAAGGGAGAGAGAGAAGAUCCUUGCAAUGAUGAAAUCCCUUCGACUUUGCCAUCUCGUCUUUCUCCACACAGGGUCGCAGAAGAAAGCAACAACAUGGACCACUCGCCAGCGUCUCUUUGAACAGAGAAGCUACUGCUAUCUAAAGUAGAUUUUAUUAGAGCCCUAGGAAAUGAGAAAUUAUUAUUUCAGAAGCAUCAUUUUUCCUGCUGGGUGGAUGUACAGAGUAGUUGGGGGAGAUGUAUUUUAGCCGUUGGUCCUAGUCACUGUUUUUUUUCCCUGUUAAUCCCGAGACAUUUUUCUUUUUCUUUCUUUCUUUCUUUUCUUUUUUUUUUUUUUUGAGACAGAGUCUCACUCUGUCACCCAGGCUGGAGUGCAGUAGCAUGAUCUUGGCUCACUGCAACCUCCGCCUCCCAGGUUCAAGAGAUUCUCCUGCCUCAGCCUCCCGAAUAGCUGGGACUACAGGCACACGCUGCCAUGCCUGGCUAAUUUUUUGUAUUUUUAGUAGAGACAGGGUUUCACUGUGUUAGUCAGGAUGGUCUUGAUCUCCUGAUAUCAUGAUCCGCCCGUCUCAGCCUCCCAAAGUGCUGGGAUUACAGGUGUGAGCCACCGUGUCCGGCCCAAUAAUAAAAAAAAAUUUAAAAAAAAAUUUAAAAAAAAAAAGUUAGAAUUACAGGCACCUUUGCUGGAAAGCAGGAUUCCUGGGCGGGUGACAGGC